rnacentral:RNase_P_RNA from 2 species
UGAGUUAGCCAGGGCGAACGCGAGUCACGUACCCCUGCGAGGUGCCCCUUCGGGGUAUCCCGCAGACGGCGUGUUUACUCGAGGAAAGUCCGGACUCCACAGAGCACGGUGGUCACUAACGGUGACCCAGGGUGACCUGCGGGACAGUGCCACAGAAAACAAACCGCCCACGGUGGAAACACGUGGGUAAGGGUGAAAAGGUGCGGUAAGAGCGCACCAGCACCUCAGGUGACUGAGGUGGCUAGGUAAACCCCACCGGGAGCAAGGCUAAAGGGCGCACCACCGCGGUGUGCCUGCAUGGAUCAGGCUGCUCGUCUACCGUAUCCAUGGGUGAGCCGCUCGAGGCCGCAUGCCGGCCCUAGAUGGAUGUUCGCCACCGUCAGCACUACGUAUGCUGACGGGAACAAAAUCCGGCUUAUCGGCUAACUCAUUCG